AGCUCAGAGAGUGGCAACAGUGUGAAAAGACUGAAACCGGACCCUGACCCAGAUGACAAGAAUCAAGAGGCCUCGUCCUGCAAGUCUCUUGGGAACACUUCCCUGAGCGGCCCCUCCAUCCACUGCCCCUCAGCUGCAGUCUGCAUUGGCAUCCUCCCAGGCUUGGGCGCCUACUCUGGGAGCAGCGACUCUGAAUCCAGCUCAGACAGUGAAGGCACCAUCAACGCCACCGGGAAGAUCGUCUCCUCCAUCUUCCGAACCAACACCUUCCUCGAAGCCCCCUAGCUCCUCUGUCCUUCCCAGAGGGAGCUGCUCCCCAAGGGUAGAUCGGACCGUUCAUUCUGCCUCCAGGCAUCACAUCUCUCAAAAAACUCCUUUGCCUGCUUCCUGUGUACACCGUGACACUUUUAACCUAAUCUAAAAACGUGCCAGAAUC